rnacentral:rRNA from 1 species
AUUGAACGCUGGCGGCAGGCCUAACACAUGCAAGUCGAGCGGCAGCACUUCGGGUGGCGAGCGGCGGACGGGUGAGUAACACGUAAGAAUCUACCUAGUAGUGGGGGAUAGCCCGGGGAAACUCGGAUUAAUACCGCAUACGCUCUACGGAGGAAAGGGGGCUUCGGCUCUCGCUAUUAGAUGAGCCUGCGUCGGAUUAGCUAGUUGGUGAGGUAAAGGCUCACCAAGGCGACGAUCCGUAACUGGUCUGAGAGGAUGAUCAGUCACACUGGAACUGAGACACGGUCCAGACUCCUACGGGAGGCAGCAGUGGGGAAUAUUGGACAAUGGGGGAAACCCUGAUCCAGCCAUGCCGCGUGUGUGAAGAAGGCC